UCAAACAAGCCCUGUUGUUUGUCAACAGGUCCCCUCAGUGACGGGCUUACUAGCGCCGCCCAGUGGUGUCAUGCUGAACAGUGUCCUCUGGGUUGGGCGGCCGGAGGGAGAAGGUCAGAUAUGCAUGAAAGCUGCAAAAGAAAUAAUAAUAAAAAAAAGCCUGCUUGUUUUUUGAGGGAAAUUACAUUUGAAGUGUUUUGCUAAACUGUCGCUGCAGUGGCGCCCCUGGUGCAUUGUGUCCCUCUGCGUUGUCUGACAGACACACGGGGAGGCGGGAGGAGGAGGGAUGCCUGCACACACACACACACACACACACACACCCCGGAAACACGGUGCGACGACCGGGGAACAAACAAACAAACAAACAAACAAACUGCCGAGGAAAGCCACCCAGUCCUCCAGGGAGCGUCGAGCGGGCCACGUGUUGUAAAAGUUACCGCCUCUCAGCCGAAACUCACGAAACACGCGGCAACCCACUCCUCGAAAAAACAAACACGUCCGUUUGUCCUCAGUGUCCCACAGCAGACACCACAGGCGAGUCAGGAGCGACCAGACACUCGGGACGAUGUGUGUCCGCAGGUGGCCACUUGUGGAGGACAAGUGAGCUACUACGUGAGCAAAUUAUAAGGCAGAGACGAGGGAUUUCAAGGACGCCUGGACUUCAAUUUAAUCGAAGAGGCUGAGAGUGGAGUGGAAGAGUGACACACGGAGGAGAGAAGUUCAUUAUUCUGCUGAAAAGGAAACCAAUGGCUUUCACAGUCGCCAUGGUAACUGGCCUUUCUUUUGCCGUCAGACCAAUGAUAAGGUACUUCACAGCAUUAAGCACAAUUAUUGCGAGGUAAAAGGGGAAAUAUUGCUUUCCUAAAUGCUAAUAGAUGUGAGAUAUUGAUUGGCAUUGCGAUUCAUUUAGAAGUGUGCCCCGACUGUUUCACCUGCCUGACUGUCCGCUACCUUUAAUGAAAUUUGAUGGAGGUUAUGCUGGAUGAUGGGCCUUUGUGGCGGCUGCACUUGUGUCUUUACUUCAGCUGAACGUGAGAAAUAAAAAAAUUAAAACCCACUUCACUAGAAACUGCAAGGAGCUGGAGAGAGAUGAAGCUGUAAGACGGCGAUAAAGCUAGACAAUUGUGAACAACAAGAGGUAGUUUACUUUAUUCUUCUUUUAUCAAGAAGAAAAAAAAAUAAUAUCAGGAUGGCUUCAAGUCUUCCAAGCUCUGUUGUUGCAAAGACGUCCCAUAACAUAAAUACUGAACACCCGCUGCUUCCCAUCAUUAGCAUGUCAUUCCGUUGUCAAGUGACCCCGCUCCCACCCUCUCACAAAGGCUGGUCGGCCUUGGCAGCAGUGAGGUCAGCACUGAGCACGAGUACAGGCCAUGGGGGGGCCAGUAGGUUUGCGGCAGCCUGCUUAGCGGGUGAGCGGAUGGAGGAUUAGCAUGGUGGAAAGCAUUGGAGCUGGUGUGUGCGUGUGUUUGUGUGUGUGAGGAGGGAUAGGGUGGUGGUGGUGGUGGUGGUGGUGGUGGUGGGGGGCAAAUUGUUUUAACCCCUAUUACAGCAACUGCGUGGUGCUCCUCUUAUCUUGGCUGCCGCAGCCACUCAUUAAUAUUCCGUACAUAUGGCGGUGCUUUCUGUAUCAUUGUCUAUUAAUGGGAGGGAUAAUCGCUCAUUCAAUUAUCAGGCAGUCAGCAAAAGACCAACCGCGGCGGCACACCCCUGGUUCACACAGUGGCACGGCCCAAAACAGAGGUGUGCCAGCGAGAAGGCGAGCGCGAUAGCAGGGAUUACAACAUAUUAGCUACUUUAAUAACUCUGGGCGCCGCGAAUAAUUCUAAGCAAAUGGGGAUCUGUUUGGCGAACGGGAACAGGCCUGAACUUUGCAGCAACAAAGCAGAGGAGGGCAAAUUAUCCGAAACCUCCCUGUUCCACUUCCGUGAUCCACGUGACGGUUUCAGGAAGCGUUUCAUGCAUUUAAACGCUGAAGCUGCUCCAUUGUGGCGAUGACCUGCGGUCAGAAAAGGCCGUUGAUAGCUCUGAGAUAGACUCUGAUGGCCCUGCUGAAUGAAGCUUGACCCUGAUGUCUGCAGGCCAAAGAUCUGUGACGUGAUCAAAUGUAGCGUUGAUCCCCGCUGAUCUGUGCUUUGUGGCCUCAGGACCCUGCGCUGUCCGUCUCCCUGCUGCCGAGGCUGCGGCUUGGAUAUGGCGGGGUUGCUGAUAAUAGUGUGACCUCUGGCAGUUUUGACCUGAAGAGACCUCGUUGAGUCAACACAAGCUCGCCCACAGGAAGAGGGAGAGGAGCACAGAGGGAGAGUUGGAGUCAGGUUGUUUAGUUACCCAGAGUUUCUGUAGGAGGUGGGUCCGGGAGAUUGGAGUGCAGAACUGUUGCAAGCAGGGUUGUUUUGGGGGAGUAUGGAAAAAGAUAGGAGGUGAAAUGUUAACAAAAUCUUAUGAAAAUCCAGAGUUUGAUAAAUUUUCGCAUUCUGAAUGAACCGAAGGCGGCGGUGGCUGUGGAGUGCCUUUGUUGGAGGUCCCAUUUUCUCUGGGAGAGCAGCGCGCUCACAGGGUCAGCGAAGUUACGAAAGUAAUUAAAGCUUGGUGAUUCACCGCCUGCUGCAGAGAAAAGAAAGCAAGCUGUCAUUCUGAUUUAGAAAAAUAAAUUACAAUUUUAAUAAUGGGGGAGGAUGGGGGUGCGAGAAUGUCUA
rnacentral:lncRNA from 1 species